rnacentral:lncRNA from 1 species
ACUCAAAUUUUCAGCUUAUGGUGACGACACUAAUGUCAAGGAAAAGAAUACCGUGAAAGAUUUUGAGCCAAGACCUAACAUUUCAGCUUAUGGUGGCAAUAUCGAUGUCAAGGAAAAUAAUGUUGUGGAAGAUUUUGAGCCAAGACCUAACAUUACAGCUUAUGGCGAAGAUAUCGAUGCCAAGGAAAAGGAUGUCGUAAAAGAUUUUGAACCAAGACCCAACCUUUCAGCUUAUGGCGAAGAUAUCAAUGCCAAGGAAAAUGUCGUGAAAGAUUUUGAGCCAAGACCCAACAUUUCAGCUUAUGGUGAGAAGGAUGUUGAUGCUAAAAAAAGGAAGUCGUGAUAAAUUUAGAGUCAAGGCCAAAU